rnacentral:rRNA from 1 species
AUACGGAGGGUGCGAGCGUUAAUCGGAAUUACUGGGCGUAAAGCGUGCGUAGGCGGUUUGCUAAGUCAGAUGUGAAAGCCCCGGGCUUAACCUGGGAACUGCAUUUGAUACUGGCAGACUAGGGUAUGAUAGAGGGGGGUAGAAUUCCUGGUGUAGCGGUGAAAUGCGUAGAUAUCAGGAGGAAUACCAGUGGCGAAGGCGGCCCCCUGGAUCAAUACUGACGCUGAGGUACGAAAGCGUGGGGAGCGAACAGGAUUAGAAACCCUGGUAGUCC